rnacentral:rRNA from 1 species
UACGUAGGGUGCGAGCGUUGUCCGGAAUUAUUGGGCGUAAAGAGCUCGUAGGCGGUUUGUCACGUCGGAUGUGAAACCCCGGGGCUUAACUCCGGGCCUGCAUUCGAUACGGGCUGACUAGAGUUCGGCAGGGAAGACUGGAAUUCCUGGUGUAGCGGUGAAAUGCGCAGAUAUCAGGAGGAACACCAAUGGCGAAGGCAGCUCGCUGGGACGGUACUGACGCUGAGGCGCGAAAGCGUGGGGAGCGAACAGG